rnacentral:lncRNA from 1 species
GAACUCUGAUGUAAUAAUUUAAGAGACCAAUUUAUGUGAUGGAAUGUUGUAAUCUUUGUGCUACUCACCUUCGCGUGAGCGAUGCUUCUCGAUCCUGUUCAGAUGGUUAAUCGGAUGAAAUCCAACGGUUGACCAGGUUGACUUGCUUAAAGUGCAUAAUCGCGUGUUAGGUGACUUCAAUGCAUUUUAGUCAGGUUAAUUUGGGCGGUUCCACCACAGUCCGAGG